GACGAACGCUGGCGGCGUGCCUAAUACAUGCAAGUUGAGCGAUGAAGCUUGGUGCUUGCACCAAUUUGAAGAGCAGCGAACGGGUGAGUAACGCGUGGGGAAUCUGCCUUUGAGCGGGGGACAACAUUUGGAAACGAAUGCUAAUACCGCAUAACAACUUUAAACAUAAGUUUUAAGUUUGAAAGAUGCAAUUGCAUCACUCAAAGAUGAUCCCGCGUUGUAUUAGCUAGUUGGUGAGGUAAAGGCUCACCAAGGCGAUGAUACAUAGCCGACCUGAGAGGGUGAGCAGCCACAUUGGGACGGAGACACGGCCCAAACGGCUACGGGAGGCAGCAGUAGGGAAACGUGGGGCAUGGACGAAAGUCUGACCGAGCAACGCCGAGUGAGGGAAGAAGGGUGUCGGAUCGUAAAACUCGGUUGGUAGAGAAGAACGUUGGUGAGAGUGGAAAGCUCAUCAAGUGACGGUAACUACUCAGAAAGGGACGGCUAACUACGUG
rnacentral:rRNA from 1 species